AUUGAACGCUGGCGGCAGGCCUAACACAUGCAAGUCGAGCGGAUGAAGGGAGCUUGCUCCUGGAUUCAGCGGCGGACGGGUGAGUAAUGCCUAGGAAUCUGCCUGGUAGUGGGGGAUAACGUCCGGAAACGGGCGCUAAUACCGCAUACGUCCUGAGGGAGAAAGUGGGGGAUCUUCGGACCUCACGCUAUCAGAUGAGCCUAGGUCGGAUUAGCUAGUUGGUGGGGUAAAGGCCUACCAAGGCGACGAUCCGUAACUGGUCUGAGAGGAUGAUCAGUCACACUGGAACUGAGACACGGUCCAGACUCCUACGGGAGGCAGCAGUGGGGAAUAUUGGACAAUGGGCGAAAGCCUGAUCCAGCCAUGCCGCGUGUGUGAAGAAGGUCUUCGGAUUGUAAAGCACUUUAAGUUGGGAGGAAGGGAAGUAAGUUAAUACCUGGCUGUUUUGACGUUACCAACAGAAUAAGCACCGGCUAACUUCGUG
rnacentral:rRNA from 1 species